UCUCUCUCUCUGUCUCUGUCUGUCUCUCUAUCUCUCAAUCUCUCUCUGUGUCUUUCUCUCUCUCUCUAGUUAGUAAAGAACAGGCAAUGUUUGCCAUGGAAGACUCUACAUAAGACCCUACAGUGUACAUCCCAACCCUCUACGGCCGUUGCUGCUCCACCCGGGCAUUACCACAUCCACCCGGGUCUACAAGAAACCUCCACGGCCGAGCUUCAACAACAGAACACCUCGUCACCGUUGAUGAGGCUCCACACCCCAGACCACAGCCAUGUUAGCCUCGAUAAUAAUCCUCGGCGCACUUAUUCCGAGACGUCCUCGUGAACUGGAGAGCUACACAACACCGGUCAUCCGCUGAGUGGUUGAAUUCCUAGUCUACCGGCCCCUAGAGGAGUGGUCGAUUGCCUGGUCUACUGUGGAUAUGAGUGGUUGAUUCCCUGGUCUACCCCUGGAUGAAGCGGCUGUUCCUAUGCAGGGGAGGACUCACACAAGCGAUAAGGUAAGGUUUUAAUGACUGGGUUCACAAGAGGUUUUAAUAGCUGGGUUUACAAGAGGUUUUAAUAGCUGGGUUUACAAGAGGUUUUAAUAGCUGGGUUUACAAGAGGUUUUAAUAGCUGGGUUUACAAGAGGUUUUAAUAGCUGGGUUUACAAGAGGUUUUAAUAGCUGGGUUUACAAGAGGUUUUAAUAGCUGGGUUUACAAGAGGUUUUAAUAGCUGGGUUUACAAGAGGUUUUAAUAGCUGGGUUUACAAGAGGUUUUAAUGGCUGGGUUUACAAGAGGUUUUAAUAGCUGGGUUUACAAGAGGUUUUAAUAGCUGGGUUUACAAGAGGUUUUAAUAGCUGGGUUUACAAGAGGUUUUAAUAGCUGGGUUUACAAGAGGUUUUAAUGGCUGGGUUUACAAGAGGUUUUAAUAGCUGGGUUUACAAGAGGUUUUAAUGGCUGGGUUUACAAGAGGUUUUAAUGGCUGGGUUUACAAGAGGUUUUAAUGGCUGGGUUUACAAGAGGUUUUAAUGGUACAUAUCUACUGAAUGUUGCUGUGUUACAUAUCUUGACAUGCUCUCAGGGUAAGGAGUGUUCUGAUAUGGUGCCUUCCCCCCCCCCCCCAGCACCUGUCGGACCUGGAGACUACCCCCUGAGCCUGACGGUGGAGCUGUGGACCCUGCACCAGACCCCCACACACCCCCCCACACCACCCACAGCAGGGGCAGGGUGUUGAGACUCCCCCCACAGGCUAAGACAGGGAGGGACUUGAAGAUCCAGGUUUUUGUCAUCUGCACAGGAAUUGACACAUGGUAUUUGGGAGCAGCAAGUAGCGGGCUUUUUUUUUUUAAUAAAGUUUCCUUUUUUGUGUGCGCCCUUGAGCUGUCUCCUUUGUUGUAGAAAAAAAUACUUGACAAGGCUUUCAUAGGUGUUUGGGGCAUUUCCAGGGGUAGUUUAAUGACCCUGGUGGUAGUCUGACCCUUCCACUGCGCAAUGAACUUGAAAAAAUGCUCAUAAAAACAUGCUUAUUAACCCAGUAGCAGCGGGGAUCAUGUUUCUUAAUGGUCCCUCCAAGCGAGAAAAAUGAGAAAAAAUCACCCCUCGCACAAACCAUUUCAUAUAUAUCAAAGCAUUUGCGAUCAGAUUAUGUAUCUUCUAUUUUUGGGGGUUUAUAUCAUGGCUCACAACCAAGAGAGCCCGGACGAAGUGGAAAAAUUUGGGUAGCUUUUCCGAUACCCUACGCCCCUGUCCACCCAGCAGUGAAUGGGUACCAGGUAUUAAUCGGGGGUUGUGUCCCGUCUCCUGGGGUCUGUUCCCUUCUCCUAUAAUUCCUUCCCCUUCUGUCUCUCUCUGGCAUAUGAUCACAGAUGUUGCGCUGCCCACUAAACAAAACUUUACAACUUUCCAACAGUUGAAUUACAGUUUGAUCCAAGUGUUGUCCCUGUGGCUCACCCUCCUAGAGAAAUACCUGUUGCUCUGAGAGGUAAACUUAAGAAGGAAUAGACUAUAUGGAAAGAUUAGGUAUCAUUGUUGAAGAAAAUACACCCACAGACUGGCUCAAUAGUAUGCUUGUAAUUGACAAAGAUAAAAAAAGCCACAAAUUUGGCCCGUCGCUGCUACACGGUAAAGCCACGAAUUUGGCCUGUCGCUGCUACACGGUAAAGCCACAAAUUUGGCCCGUCACUGCUACACGGUAAAGCCACAAAUUUGGCCCGUCGCUGCUACACGGUAAAGCCACGAAUUUGGCCCGUCGCUGCUACACGGUAAAGCCACGAAUUUGGCCCGUCGCUGCUACACGGUAAAGCCACAAAUUUGGCCCAUCGCUGCUACCAGGUUAAAGGUUUUGGGCAACUUAAAUUUGAUGAGACUUCUAAAUAGGUGACCUUUAAUACCUGUUUUGGAAGAUAUAGGCCUACCUUAGACUUACAUUUGGAGUAAGCGGCUAGCUCUGAAAUAUACCAGAGAAGGAUGCAUGAGGCUUUUGGUGAAGGUGUAGAGAUCAUGAUGGAUGACAUUUUGGUGCAUGGGCGGCGCACAGAAGAGGAACAUGACCAUAGAUUAACCCGGUAGCAGUGACGGGCCAAAUUUGUGGCUUUACCGUGUAGCAGCGACGGGUCAGAUUUUUGCCAUGAUAUAAACCCCCCAAAAUAGAUGAUGCAUAAACUGAUCACUAAUGCGUUGAUAUAUAUUAUGAAAUGGUUUGCGUGAGUGAUGAUUUUCUUCUCAUUUUUCUCGUUUAGGGGGAGGAGCCUUUAAGAAACAUGAUCCCCGCAGCUACCUGCUUAAAAAUGUCCUAAAGAGAAGCUGAGAGACAAAUCUGAAGCUGAGCCCAAUAAGACCGAGCUGAAAACCAAGCAAAUUGAAUAUAUUGGUCAUGUUUUGACUGAAAGUGUCAUCCAUACUGAUCAGCAAAAAGUGGAAGCUGUUGAUGAGUUUAUUCCUGUCCCACAAAACAAAACUGUGUCAGAGGUUUUUGGGCAUGAUCAAUUAUGUGGGUAAAUAAUUCAUACAAAAUCUUUCCACACUCACAGACCCGCUGCGUGUUCUGCUGGAGAAAAACACUGCAUGACUGUUGUUGGGAGGAGACACAGCAUGAAGGCUUCCAGGAGCUGCAAGACAUCCUUGUGGUCAGGGCGCCUGGUCAUUAUGAUGUAAGUGCUGUACCUGUCUUACUUUGUGUAGAUGCUUCUAGCCUUGCACUAUGGGCCUGUAUAAUGCAAGAAGGUCACCCUGUAGCUAUCUCGAUUUUGUUCUCGUUCCUUUACUUGUCCUGCUCUUUACAUAUGCCGAUGUGCGAAACAAAAUUUAUUAUUAUUAUUAUUAUUAUUCUGCAGCGAGGUCAUUGACAAAAUCUGAAAAAAACUCUGCCCAGAUAGAGAAGGAGGUGCUUGCUAUAGUGUUUGGGGUUGAGAGAUUCCAUUCCCAGCAGUACGGCAGAGAUAACAUUGUUGUAGAGACAAAUGACAAGCCCUUGGAAGCUAUUCUUAGGACGCCACAUAAUUGCCUUCACACCUUUGAGACUAACGAAUGCUGAUCCUUUCCCAUGGAGUGUCGGCGGAGGUCGAGCUGGUGGUUGGUGGCCGGGUCACGCUCACCACGGGCAAGGAGUUCUGUGAGAUGCGCUCAGCCGAUGUUGUUGACCUCGACCACAUCAAUGUUAUAAGGUGGUGGAGGUGUGGAACUACAUCUACAUUAAACCACGGGACUGCCUUGACCUACCCCAGACAAUUUGUUGGCUCCUGAACCAUGAUGUCCUCCCUGCUAGCCUCAAAGAACACCCUCAGUGUGCACCAAGGUGGUGAUGCGGUGUGUGGCAGCCUGCCGUGCUCUACAAGGCUGUGAUCUCUGCAGUUUUCUACUUUAAGGACAAGCAUUUCCUCUUUCUCUGUAGUCAUUCCCAUCUAGUGCUUGGGGGAUGUCCUUCUCUGUCCCCACAUUUUAUUUUCUUCUUGUCCAGGGGGAGGCACCGCCCCCCUCCCUGGUUGUGCAUUCCCUCCACCACUGUAUCUCUUUAGUUUCAUGUUGCUACCUACACGUGUAUUAAUAAUAGUUGUAUAAUGUACUGCCUGGGGGUUGGGAUGGCAUGUUCCUCCCUUCUCCCUUGUUGUUUACCUGCAGCAAUAAAUUAUCAAUCAAUAUCCAUGAUCGGUUAUGUUAUGAAUUCACUCAAUUUCUGUCUGGAGCACUACACAACACUGGUCAUUGUCUGAGUGCUUGAAGCCUAGAGUGCCAAUGACUUGACGCCUUGG